ensembl:lncRNA
CAGCUCAAGUGGUAGAGCAUUGCGUUAACAAGCGCAAGGUUGUGGGUUUGAUUCCCCGGGAACACAUGAUAGGUAAAAAUUGAUAGCCUGAAUGCACUGUAAGUCGCUUUGGAUAAAAGCGUCUGCUAAAUGCAUAAAUUUAAUUUAAAUUUAAAUAUUACAAUUUAUAGGAUAAUGGAUGUGCAUACUUAUAAUUUCUCUGUGUGUGGCGUUUGGUAAAAACAAACAUGAAAAUAUGUAAGAAAUAUUUUCCAUUUGUGUUUAAAUGGUUUUAUAUACAAGUAAAAUCUCAAAUAAAUUACCUCAGUUUUCCACCUCAAUGAAUCGCCGAGGACGUCCAGGAUCACAUGAUAAUACAAGGUAACGUUAAAUGUAGCCUAAUUCCUCGAAGUGACCCACAGGAGGAAUCUUUCACUAUCCACAUGUAGAGAAGUCCGUAAAGUGAUUCAUUUGCUCAUUUCAUUUGCGUUUAGAACGACCAAGUAGAAGAACAAGUAGCAUUUCCUUCUCAAAGAGCCCUUGAAGAGAGCGCAUUCUUUGAUGCCGUUUUAAUUGACGGAUUCCACUAAGAAUCCUGUUUGUGGUCAACAAAUGAUUCCUGAUCCAAACACACUGUCUAACUGUCCUCUGGAGUCAAAACCCGGAAAAAGCUACGGAACUGAAAUCCCAAACAUCAUGACCAUGUUUCCUUCCGGAUGUCCACGAUCACAGCCGCCGGCCCCUUCACCGGAUCUUACGGACAAACUCGGCAAACCACACAGGGAGUAAAAUGUGGAGCAGCUUUUCUUCGGUCGUGAUCUGGGAGGCCAGUCCGCAUGUGUGUGGUGUGUCCAGUGACAACCUAAACCUGGUUUUUGGAUGACUGUUGACCUUCACCUCUUUACCAACCCAGGCUUUUAAACAAGGCGUGACGCGGCUCUUUAAGUUACCACCCAGGACCCAAGGCUGCCUGCAGCUCAGCAUGGCUGAUGGAUCUGAGUGCAGCCGCCAACCUCCAGUCACCCCAGACACGAGCCCCAGGACCCCACACCACCCGAUGGUACAGCUCUGUCACGCACACACCAAACAUUUAAAGUGACAUGCAAAGGAAAGAAGUAGAAGUUGGAGAAAUUCAAAUGGUAAAAUGUUAUGGUGCUCAAUCCAGGCAGCAGAUCGGACCUGAUGCGCCUUAAUACAAACAGCUGGCACACGAUCAGUAUGAGUGGGCAGAGUGCUAGAUGUUGAUACCAUAUUUUUCAGCAUGUUCAUAUGGAAUAUGUAUUAGUAACAUAUGUUCAAUGAGAAAAGACUUAUAUCAGGUCAAACCCAACGGGACUGUGAAACAACCACAGACUGUAAGUAUGGGAAUAAACUGCUGUAGUAUGUGCA